rnacentral:rRNA from 1 species
GCCAGCCGCCGCGGUAAUACCGGCAGCCCGAGUGGUGGCCGCGUUUAUUGGGCCUAAAGGGUCCGUAGCCGGUCGGGUAAGUUCCUCGGGAAACCUCGCCGCUCAACGGUGAGGCUUCCGGGGAAUACUGCCUGACUUGGGACCGGGAGGGGCCGGAGGUACUCCCGGGGUAGGGGUGAAAUCCGUUGAUCCCGGGAGGACCACCCGUAGCGAAGGCGUCCGGCUGGAACGGGUCCGACGGUGAGGGACGAAGGCCAGGGGCGCGAACCGGAUUAGAUACCCGGGUAGUCCUGGCUGUAAACGAUGCGGGCUUUGCGUCGGCACUGCCACGAGUGGUGCCGGUGUUGAAGGGAAGCCGUUAAGCCCGCCGCCUGGGGAGUACGGGCGCAAGCCUGAAACUUAAAGGAAUUGGCGGGGGAGCACUACAACGGGUGGAGCCUGCGGUUUAAUUGGAUUCAACACCGGGAAGCUUACCGGGGGAGACAGCGAGAUGAAGGUCGGGC